GACGAACGCUGGCGGCGUGCUUAACACAUGCAAGUCGAACGGUGAAGCGCCUUCCUUUUUGGUGGGUGUGGAUGAGUGGCGAACGGGUGAGUAACACGUGAGUAACCUGCCCCCUUCUUCUGGAUAACCGCAUGAAAGUGUGGCUAAUACGGGAUAUUCUGGGUCUGUCGCAUGAUGGGUCUGGGAAAGAUAUUGUUUCGGUGGGGGAUGGGCUCGCGGCCUAUCAGCUUGUUGGGGGGGUGAUGGCCUACCAAGGCGGUGACGGGUAGCCGGCCUGAGAGGGUGGACGGUCACACUGGGACUGAGACACGGCCCAGACUCCUACGGGAGGCAGCAGUGGGGAAUAUUGCACAAUGGGCGAAAGCCUGAUGCAGCGACGCCGCGUGAGGGAUGGAGGCCUUCGGGUUGUGAACCUCUUUCGCCAGUGAAGCAGGCCUGCCUCGUUUGUGGGUGGGUUGACGGUAGCUGGAUAAGAAGCGCCGGCUAACUACGUG
rnacentral:rRNA from 1 species